rfam:Aedes aegypti strain Liverpool supercont1.339 genomic scaffold, whole genome shotgun sequence.
UGCCCAGCAACUCCUAUCCCUACCUCCUCGAGGUACUGGCCGGGGUACAAAUAACCUUAGAGAAGA